rfam:Schistosoma curassoni strain Dakar, Senegal genome assembly, scaffold: SCTD_scaffold0000587
GCCCAGUUGAUGGGUCCCAAAUAAGGCGAAACGCGCGUCAAACUGGAU